CUUCAGCUCCGUCUCCCUUUUCCCCAACCUGAGCUGGAUCCCAAUCUUGGAUUCUCCACCCCUGUCUCCUGGCCUCCACAAAUCAUUCAGCCUGGCACCUUUUUCUCGGUAUGAACUCGUGAAUGGGGAAGAUGGUGGCUUUGGGAUCCGCCUGGCGGCAGUUGUGCAACCUUCCAAGAGGAAGGCGACCGCCUGCGCCAUCUUUGCACAGCUGCCGGCAUACAGGCCCCUGAUUCUCGAAGGAGGGUCCGCAGCGCCUCAAAGGGGUUUAAGACGUUCACCAGUGUGUUAUUUUUGAAUAAAGCGUGAGAGCUUUGGAAGCCCAGCAGGGGCAGUGCCCCUUCACAGAGAUUCAGGGAUAGUCUGGUGGAUGAAGGCCUAAAGUUUGGAAUUUUCCUCUUGGAGAAGUGCUGUUGGGAUAGCUGCGAUGCCCAGGUAAUGGUACCUGCCACUUCAUCAACAAGCUGUGACAAGAAGUGGAGAGUGACAAGAAGUGGAGAGUAGCAUGCCUUCUACCUGGGUACUGUGAAUUUUGCUGACACAAAGGAUGUUCUCUACCUGGUGUUGGACAGAUCCUUGGAACUUCACGUCUUUCCUGUAUUAACCCGCGUGAGCAGCUGUCAAUCUCCUGGGGUGGAGGGAGGGGACUGCCUAGAAAUUUGGGGACCAAAAUCAAUUAGGUGGCCUUUACUUCAUCUUACCCAAAGGAUUCCAAUAAAAUAUUUUAAAGCAAAUAAAAAGUAGAUUGGUCUCAGUGAAAACAAGAUGGUACAGAAAGGUUUAGGGACAUGAAAGGUUAACCACCAGUGAAUGAGCAUCACAGUUGACGUCUAGCUGUACCUCUUUGCAGCCACAUACAAAAAGUAGAUUCGCCACAUAUUGACACCAAUGUUAAGGAUUUCUAAAUUGAUUGUGGUAGUAUUCUUAUAUUUGAGGUUUUUAUUAUGCCAUUAACACAGACAUCCAAUUUGCCUUUUGAUCAAUUGGUGAAAACAUAGGUUGUCCAGAUAUAUUUUAAAAGAAUAUACUGGUGGUUGCCAGGGGCAGGGAAUGAGGAAAUGAAGAGUUACUGUUUAAUGGGUAUAGUUUCCAUUUUAGAAGAUGAAAAGUGUUCACAGGGAUGGAUGGUGGUGACGGUUGCUCAAUGUGAUGAAUGUGUUUGUUACCACUGAACCUUAUGCUUAAAAGUGGUAAAGAUGGGGGAGGGGAUAAAUUGGAAGAUUAGGAUUGACACAUACCUGCUACUACAUAUAAAAAAGGUAAC